rnacentral:rRNA from 1 species
CCUACGGGAGGCAGCAGUAGGGAAUCUUCCGCAAUGGACGCAAGUCUGACGGAGCAACGCCGCGUGAGUGCAUAGAAGGUUUUCGGAUCGUAAAGCUCUGUUGCCAGGGAAGAACGCUCAGGAGAGUAACUGCUCCUGAGGUGACGGUACCUGAGAAGAAAGCCCCGGCUAACUACGUGCCAGCAGCCGCGGUAAUACGUAGGGGGCAAGCGUUGUCCGGAAUUAUUGGGCGUAAAGCGCGCGCAGGCGGUUAUUUAAGUUUGGUGUUUAAGCCCGGGGCUCAACCCCGGAUCGCACUGAAAACUGGAUGACUUGAGUGCGGGAGAGGAAAGUGGAAUUCCACGUGUAGCGGUGAAAUGCGUAGAGAUGUGGAGGAACACCAGUGGCGAAGGCGACUUUCUGGACCGUAACUGACGCUGAGGCGCGAAAGCGUGGGGAGCAAACAGGAUUAGAUACCCUGGUAGUCCACGCCGUAAACGAUGAGUGCUAGGUGUUAGGGGUUUCGAUACCCUUGGUGCCGAAGUAAACACAGUAAGCACUCCGCCUGGGGAGUACGCUCGCAAGAGUGAAACUCAAAGGAAUUGACGGCCAGCUGACCUCGCACAAGCAGUGCGAGUCAUGUGGUUUAAUUCGAAGCAACGCGAAGAACCUUAC